AACGCACCUUGCGCUUCUGGGUACUCCCAGGAGCAUGCCUGUUUGAGUGUUGUGAAUACCUCACAGUCGACUACUUUUUAGUAAUAAAAAGUUGGUACGACUUGUGGAAAUUGAGCUUUGCAGAAUGGCCCUUUGUUGGCCUUUGCUUGCUCGAAAUACAGUAGCCUUUGACUUUGUCGUUUUUGCUAUGUGUGACUUGAUAAUUAUCCUAGUUGCACUGCACUUGUGACCAUGUUGGCUUCCAACUUUUGUUCUUUGCCCUUUUUCUUUGAAGAAAGGCAAGAAUGUUUAUUCUAUACUAUAAACCUCAAAUCAGGUAGGACUACCCGCUGAACUUAA
rnacentral:misc_RNA from 1 species